GAUGAACGCUGGCGGCGUGCCUAAUACAUGCAAGUCGAGCGAACAGACGAGGAGCUUGCUCCUCUGACGUUAGCGGCGGACGGGUGAGUAACACGUGGAUAACCUACCUAUAAGACUGGAAUAACUUCGGGAAACCGGAGCUAAUACCGGAUAACAUGUUGAACCGCAUGGUUCAACAGUGAAAGACGGUUUUGCUGUCACUUAUAGAUGGAUCCGCGCCGCAUUAGCUAGUUGGUAAGGUAACGGCUUACCAAGGCAACGAUGCGUAGCCGACCUGAGAGGGUGAUCGGCCACACUGGAACUGAGACACGGUCCAGACUCCUACGGGAGGCAGCAGUAGGGAAUCUUCCGCAAAGGGCGAAAGCCUGACGGAGCAACGCCGCGUGAGUGAAGAAGGUCUUCGGAUCGUAAAACUCUGUUAUUAGGGAAGAACAAAUGUGUAAGUAACUAUGCACGUCUUGACGGUACCUAAUCAGAAAGCCACGGCUAACUACGUG
rnacentral:rRNA from 1 species